UGCUGGAGGACCAAGUUUGGAGAAGACACCGACACCUCCGUUCCUGCAAAGAUGUCGCGUAAAUCCACUGCCAUCCUGUCUCCAGCCGACUUGUAUCCCACCUAGGAUGAAGAAAUCACCAACUAGAAUGUAUAUUGUGAACGCUGACGGGGUAAUUUUCAGGGAAUACUUCACAAACUGCGCUGCGCUACUCUACCCACGUGGUAUGUAGAGAUGGGACCCCAAAGUGCAACGUGACUGAUUUGAGCAGACGAGGGCCAUUCAGUCCAUGCUGUUGCGGUAAAACUCCCUGUGCAGAAAUUUUCAUAAGGUCUGUGCAGGGAAUGCCAGCUUCAGACAGCAUGCAGACGACUAACUCUGCACCUCAAGAAAAAAAUCACAACACGAACUACUGUGACCCAUGAUGUGUGGACCCACCAGAAUGAUCUUGGGGAGGAGGCAGAUCGGGCGUUGUGUGUGUGUGGACAGUUGUGGUGGUAGGUGGUUCUUUUCAU